rnacentral:ribozyme from 13 species
AGGAGAGAGAGAAGAAGAAAGAGAAGGAGGAGAAGAAAAGAGAGAAAGAGAGAUUUCUUUUACCAUUGCAGACAUUAAAAAUACAAAAAUGGGCUCUUUUUUUCGAUUAAUUCUUCUGAUUUUUCUCUCUUCUUUCGGGUGAGAAGAAGAAGAAGAAGAAG